GAUGAACGCUGGCGGCGUGCUUAACACAUGCAAGUCGAACGAUGAAGCCCAGCUUGCUGGGUGGAUUAGUGGCGAACGGGUGAGUAACACGUGAGUAACCUGCCCUCAACUCUGGGAUAAGCCUGGGAAACUGGGUCUAAUACCGGAUAGGAGCGUCCACCGCAUGGGGGGUGUUGGAAAGAUUUAUCGGUUUUGGAUGGACUCGCGGCCUAUCAGCUUGUUGGUGGGGUAAUGGCUCACCAAGGCAACGACGGGUAGCCGGCCUGAGAGGGUGACCGGCCACACUGGGACUGAGACACGGCCCAGACUCCUACGGGAGGCAGCAGUGGGGAAUAUUGCACAAUGGGCGCAAGCCUGAUGCAGCGACGCCGCGUGAGGGAUGACGGCCUUCGGGUUGUAAACCUCUUUCAGUAGGGAAGAAGCGAAAGUGACGGUACCUGCAGAAGAAGCACCGGCUAACUACGUG
rnacentral:rRNA from 1 species